rnacentral:rRNA from 1 species
CUACGUAGGGGGCGAGCGUUGUCCGGAAUGAUUGGGCGUAAAGGGCGCGUAGGCGGCCCGGUAAGUCUGGAGUGAAAGUCCUGCUUUUAAGGUGGGAAUUGCUUUGGAUACUGUCGGGCUUGAGUGCAGGAGAGGUAAGUGGAAUUCCCAGUGUAGCGGUGAAAUGCGUAGAGAUUGGGAGGAACACCAGUGGCGAAGGCGACUUACUGGACUGUAACUGACGCUGAGGCGCGAAAGUGUGGGGAGCAACCAGGAUUAGAUACCCUGGUAGUCCACACUGUAAACGAUGAAUGCUAGGUGUAGGGGGUAUCGACCCCUUCCGUGCCGCAGUUAACACAAUAAGCAUUCCGCCUGGGGAGUACGGCCGCAAGGUUGAAACUCAAAGGAAUUGGCGGGG